rnacentral:RNase_P_RNA from 1 species
CCAGAGGGCCGGGCGGCCGCCGGUGCGGUGACGCACGGGAGGAAAGUCCGGGCUCCGCAGAGCAACGGUGCCGGGUAACACCCGGCGGCUCCGGGUUCGCUUGGGGUCAGGGACAGUGCCACAGAAAGCAGACCGCCGGUCUUCGGUCCGGCAAGGGCGAAAGGGUGCGGCAAGAGCGCACCGCGGGGCUGGCAACAGCACCGGCACGGCAAACCCCACCGGGAGCAAGACCGAAUAGGGACGGCGCAUGGCGUGGCUCGCGCCGGUCGUCCGGGUUGGUCGCUUGAGGCGGCGCGCAAGCGUCGUCUUAGAGGAAUGGUCGCCCAUCCGCGGGCUCCCGAAAAUGGGGCGGGCGGUGGACAGAACCCGGCUUACAGGCCCUCUGGCGCU